rnacentral:rRNA from 1 species
GGGUUGUGAGGUUAAGCGACUAAGCGUACACGGUGGAUGCCCUGGCAGUCAGAGGCGAUGAAGGACGUGCUAAUCUGCGAAAAGCGCCGGCGAGGUGAUAUGAACCUUUGACCCGGCGAUGUCCGAAUGGGGAAACCCAGUGUGUUCCGACACACUAUCGUUAACUGAAUACAUAGGUUAACGAGGCGAACCGGGGGAACUGAAACAUCUAAGUACCCCGAGGAAAAGAAAUCAACCGAGAUUCCCCCAGUAGCGGCGAGCGAACGGGGAGCAGCCCGGAGUCUGAAUCAGCUUGUGUGUUAGUGGAACGGUCUGGAAAGUCCGACGGUACAGGGUGAUAGUCCCGUACACGAAAAUGCACAGGUUGUGAACUCGAAGAGUAGGGCGGGACACGUGGUAUCCUGUCUGAAUAUGGGGGGACCAUCCUCCAAGGCUAAAUACUCCUGACUGACCGAUAGUGAACCAGUACCGUGAGGGAAAGGCGAAAAGAACCCCGGCGAGGGGAGUGAAAAAGAACCUGAAACCGUGUACGUACAAGCAGUGGGAGCACCUUCGUGGUGUGACUGCGUACCUUUUGUAUAAUGGGUCAGCGACUUAUAUUCUGUAGCAAGGUUAACCGUAUAGGGGAGCCGAAGGGAAACCGAGUCUUAACUGGGCGUUAAGUUGCAGGGUAUAGACCCGAAACCCGGUGAUCUAGCCAUGGGCAGGUUGAAGGUUGGGUAACACUAACUGGAGGACCGAACCGACUAAUGUUGAAAAAUUAGCGGAUGACCUGUGGCUGGGGGUGAAAGGCCAAUCAAACCGGGAGAUAGCUGGUUCUCCCCGAAAGCUAUUUAGGUAGCGCCUCGUGAACUCAUCUUCGGGGGUAGAGCACUGUUUCGGCUAGGGGGCCAUCCCGGCUUACCAACCCGAUGCAAACUACGAAUACCGAAGAAUGUUAUCACGGGAGACACACGGCGGGUGCUAACGUCCGUCGUGAAGAGGGAAACAACCCAGACCGCCAGCUAAGGUCCCAAAGUCAUGGUUAAGUGGGAAACGAUGUGGGAAGGCACAGACAGCCAGGAUGUUGGCUUAGAAGCAGCCAUCAUUUAAAGAAAGCGUAAUAGCUCACUGGUCGAGUCGGCCUGCGCGGAAGAUGUAACGGGGCUAAACCAUGCACCGAAGCUGCGGCAGCGACACUAUGUGUUGUUGGGUAGGGGAGCGUUCUGUAAGCCGUUGAAGGUGUGCUGUGAGGCAUGCUGGAGGUAUCAGAAGUGCGAAUGCUGACAUAAGUAACGAUAAAGCGGGUGAAAAGCCCGCUCGCCGGAAGACCAAGGGUUCCUGUCCAACGUUAAUCGGGGCAGGGUGAGUCGACCCCUAAGGCGAGGCCGAAAGGCGUAGUCGAUGGGAAACAGGUUAAUAUUCCUGUACUUGGUGUUACUGCGAAGGGGGGACGGAGAAGGCUAUGUCAGCCGGGCGACGGUUGUCCCGGUUUAAGCAUGUAGGCGGAGGUUCCAGGUAAAUCCGGUACCUUUUAACGCUGAGGUGUGAUGACGAGGCACUACGGUGCUGAAGUGAUAAAUGCCCUGCUUCCAGGAAAAGCCUCUAAGCAUCAGGUAACACGAAAUCGUACCCCAAACCGACACAGGUGGUCAGGUAGAGAAUACCAAGGCGCUUGAGAGAACUCGGGUGAAGGAACUAGGCAAAAUGGUGCCGUAACUUCGGGAGAAGGCACGCUGAUAGGUAGGUGAAG